UUUAAACAACCGACCAUGUCUGCAUUUUACUGAAGGCUGUCCCAACACGACUUACCAAUCCAAACUGAUGCUGAAUUAUCCAGUUUGCACAAACAUUAACAAACAAAACAGAUGCUAUCUAGCUGACCCUUCCUGUCCUAGUUUACACAGUGACUUUGAUGUCACGACUGUCUCUCCUACAAUCAACGUCAGUCUAUUGUGGACCACUUCUACCAGACCGGG